rnacentral:rRNA from 1 species
GGGCGGGACACGUGGUAUCCUGUCUGAAUAUGGGGGGACCAUCCUCCAAGGCUAAAUACUCCUGACUGACCGAUAGUGAACCAGUACCGUGAGGGAAAGGCGAAAAGAACCCCGGCGAGGGGAGUGAAACAGAACCUGAAACCGUGUACGUACAAGCAGUGGGAGCCUCUCUUUAUGGGGGGUGACUGCGUACCUUUUGUAUAAUGGGUCAGCGACUUAUAUUCUGUAGCAAGGUUAACCGCAUAGGGGAGCCGAAGGGAAACCGAGUCUUAACCGGGCGUUAAGUUGCAGGGUAUAGACCCGAAACCCGGUGAUCUAGCCAUGGGCAGGUUGAAGGUUGGGUAACACUAACUGGAGGACCGAACCGACUAAUGUUGAAAAAUUAGCGGAUGACCUGUGGCUGGGGGUGAAAGGCCAAUCAAACCGGGAGAUAGCUGGUUCUCCCCGAAAGCUAUUUAGGUAGCGCCUCGUGAACUCAUCUCCGGGGGUAGAGCACUGUUUCGGCUAGGGGGCCAUCCCGGCUUACCAACCCGAUGCAAACUGCGAAUACCGGAGAAUGUUAUCACGGGAGACACACGGCGGGUGCUAACGUCCGUCGUGAAGAGGGAAACAACCCAGACCGCCAGCUAAGGUCCCAAAGUCAUGGUUAAGUGGGAAACGAUGUGGGAAGGCCCAGACAGCCAGGAUGUUGGCUUAGAAGCAGCCAUCAUUUAAAGAAAGCGUAAUAGCUCACUGGUCGAGUCGGCCUGCGCGGAAGAUGUAACGGGGCUAAACCAUGCACCGAAGCUGCGGCAGCGACACUUUAGUGUUGUUGGGUAGGGGAGCGUUCUGUAAGCCGUUGAAGGUGUCCUGUGAGGGGUGCUGGAGGUAUCAGAAGUGCGAAUGCUGACAUAAGUAACGAUAAAGCGGGUGAAAAGCCCGCUCGCCGGAAGACCAAGGGUUCCUGUCCAACGUUAAUCGGGGCAGGGUGAGUCGACCCCUAAGGCGAGGCCGAAAGGCGUAGUCGAUGGGAAACGGGUUAAUAUUCCCGUACUUGGUGUUACUGCGAAGGGGGGACGGAGAAGGCUAUGUUGGCCGGGCGACGGUUGUCCCGGUUUAAGCGUGUAGGUGUGUGUUCCAGGUAAAUCCGGUUCACUUUAACACUGAGGCGUGAUGACGAGGCACCACGGUGCUGAAGCAACAAAUGCCCUGCUUCCAGGAAAAGCCUCUAAGCAUCAGGUAACAUCAAAUCGUACCCCAAACCGACACAGGUGGUCAGGUAGAGAAUACCAAGGCGCUUGAGAGAACUCGGGUGAAGGAACUAGGCAAAAUGGUGCCGUAACUUCGGGAGAAGGCACGCUGACACGUAGGUGAAGUGAUUUACUCAUGGAGCUGAAGUCAGUCGAAGAUACCAGCUGGCUGCAACUGUUUAUUAAAAACACAGCACUGUGCAAACACGAAAGUGGACGUAUACGGUGUGACGCCUGCCCGGUGCCGGAAGGUUAAUUGAUGGGGUCAGCGCAAGCGAAGCUCCUGAUCGAAGCCCCGGUAAACGGCGGCCGUAACUAUAACGGUCCUAAGGUAGCGAAAUUCCUUGUCGGGUAAGUUCCGACCUGCACGAAUGGCGUAAUGAUGGCCAGGCUGUCUCCACCCGAGACUCAGUGAAAUUGAACUCGCUGUGAAGAUGCAGUGUACCCGCGGCAAGACGGAAAGACCCCGUGAACCUUUACUAUAGCUUGACACUGAACAUUGAGCCUUGAUGUGUAGGAUAGGUGGGAGGCUUUGAAGCGUGGACGCCAGUCUGCGUGGAGCCGACCUUGAAAUACCACCCUUUAAUGUUUGAUGUUCUAACGUGGACCCGUAAUCCGGGUUGCGGACAGUGUCUGGUGGGUAGUUUGACUGGGGCGGUCUCCUCCUAAAGAGUAACGGAGGAGCACGAAGGUUGGCUAAUCCUGGUCGGACAUCAGGAGGUUAGUGCAAUGGCAUAAGCCAGCUUGACUGCGAGCGUGACGGCGCGAGCAGGUGCGAAAGCAGGUCAUAGUGAUCCGGUGGUUCUGAAUGGAAGGGCCAUCGCUCAACGGAUAAAAGGUACUCCGGGGAUAACAGGCUGAUACCGCCCAAGAGUUCAUAUCGACGGCGGUGUUUGGCACCUCGAUGUCGGCUCAUCACAUCCUGGGGCUGAAGUAGGUCCCAAGGGUAUGGCUGUUCGCCAUUUAAAGUGGUACGCGAGCUGGGUUUAGAACGUCGUGAGACAGUUCGGUCCCUA